CUCUCUUUCUCUCUUCUUCUUCUUCUUCCUUCUUUCACCAUUAGCAUCCCUUCUCAAAACUUAAUUUCUUACUUUUCUUGCAUGGGUUCUCCAUCUAAAUAGUAGAAAACACCAAAGUGACCUUUGAUUGAGGGAUUGAAGCAAGAAGAAUAAGAGAUUCUGAAGGGAAAUUGAAGAUUAGAAGUUGGUCACUUGAGGUAAGGAAAAGGAGAAGGCUAACGAGUAAAAGACUUGGGAGCAGCAUUUUGUAUUGACUAUGGGUAUAUAUAAUAGGUAUACCCCUGUAAUUCCUUUUGAUGUAUUUUGUAGCUAUAUGUAUGAUGUACGAACAUUGAGCAGUUUGUAUUAAAAAGUAUUCCAUUGCUAUAACAUUACGAGAUUGUAAAUAUUUGUAUUUCAUUUUGAGACUCAUGUAAAUGUAGUUUUUGUAACAUUAAGUUUAUUAUCUCUAAUGAAUAAAGCAUUUGAAAUGUAAACGAA
rnacentral:misc_RNA from 1 species